rnacentral:rRNA from 1 species
GAUGAACGCUGGCGGCGUGCCUAAUACAUGCAAGUCGAACGCAUUGUGGUUGAAAUGAUAUGAAGAACUUGUUCAGAUUUGAUUUUCAACAUUGCAAUGAGUGGCGAACGGGUGAGUAACACGUGGGAAACCUACCUCUUAGCAGGGGAUAACAUUUGGAAACAAAUGCUAAUACCGUAUAAUAAUUAAAACCGCAUGGUUUUAGUUUAAAAGAUGGUCUUGCUAUCACUAAGAGAUGGUCCCGCGGUGUAUUAGUUAGUUGGUGAGGUAAUGGCUCACCAAGACAAUGAUACAUAGCCGAGUUGAGAGACUGACCGGCCACAAUGGGAGUGAGACACGGCCCAUACUCCUACGGGAGGCAGCAGUAGGGAAUCUUCCACAAUGGACGAAAGUACUGAUGGAGCAACGCCGCGUGUGUGAUGAAGGUUUCGGCUCGUAAAACACUGUUGUAAGAGAAGAAUGACAUUGAGAGUAACUGUUCAAUGUGUGACGGUA